GACACCACUCGCCCCCCUUCUCUCCCCCCUGUAACAGGGGCGGGGUUGAUGGCGGGGCGGACUCUGAGUGUUCCGGAGUUCCCAUGCUCCGAGUGCACCUAAUCUCGUGAACGAAGCCUCUCGCGCCCUGCCGCACAGAGUUGUUGACGGCGCUCGCUUCGGCGGCGACUCUCGACUCACCAAACGUGCGCAGGCUGCGGGGGCUUCUUCCGGCGCUCCAGAAGAUCUCUAUUUUUUGGAAUCCGUGCCACUUUCG
rnacentral:misc_RNA from 1 species